AGUGAACGCUGGCGGCGUGCCUAAUACAUGCAAGUCGAACGGAGAUUAAGUAGCUUGCUAUUUAAUCUUAGUGGCGCACGGGUGAGUAAUAUAUAGCUAACUUGCCCAUUACUAAGGGACAACAGUUGGAAACGACUGCUAAUACCUUAUACUCCGUAUCUAUAUAAGUAGAUACGGGAAAGUUUUUCGGUAAUGGAUAGGGCUAUAUCGUAUCAGCUAGUUGGUAAGGUAAUGGCUUACCAAGGCUAUGACGCGUAACUGGUCGGAGAGGAUGAUCAGUCACACUGGAACUGAGACACGGUCCAGACUCCUACGGGAGGCAGCAGUAGGGAAUAUUGCUCCAUUGGGGAAACCCUGAAGCAGCAACGCCGCGUGGAGGAUGACACUUUUCGGAGCGUAAACUCCUUUUCUUGGGAAAGAAUUAUGACGGUACCCAAGGAAUAAGCACCGGCUAACUCCGUG
rnacentral:rRNA from 1 species